rnacentral:rRNA from 1 species
GUCUGAUGGAGCGACACCGCGUGAAGGAUGAAGGUCUAACGACUGUAAACUUCUUUUCUGAAGGAGCAUAAUGAGAGUACUUCAGGAAUAAGGGACGGCUAAAUACGUGCCAGCAGCCGCGGUAAUACGUGUGUCCCAAGCGUUACCCGGAAUUAUUGGGUGUAAAGGGUCUGUAGGUGGGAAAGCAAGUCAGGUAUGAAAGACCGAAGCUCAACUUCGUGUUUGUGCAUGAAACUACUUUUCUAGAAUCAGGGAGAGGUAAGCGGAAUUCUUAGUGUAGGAGUGCAAUCCGUAGAUACUAAGAAGAACACCAAAAGCGAAGGCAGCUUACUGGAACUGUAUUGACACUGAGGGACGAAAGCAUGGGGAGCGAAGAGGAUUAGAUACCCUCGUAGUCCAUGCCCUAAACGAUGAUAACUAAGUGUUGCGCAUUGGCGCAGUGCUGGAGCUAACGCGUUAAGUUAUCCACCUGAGGAGUACGAUCGCAAGAUUAAAACUCAAAGGAAUAGACGGGGACCUACACAAGCAGUGGAUCACGUGGUUUAAUUCGACAAUAAACGGGGAAUCUCACCCAGACUUGACAUCCUGAGAGUACACUGGAAACAGAGUAGUGCCCGCAAGGGAGCUCAGUGACAGGUGCUGCAUGGUUGUCGUCAGCUCGUGCCUUGAGGUGUUCGGUUAAGUCCGUUAACGAG